GUCGUGAGACAGUUCGGUCCCUAUCCGUCGUGGGCGUUGGAAGUUUGAGAGGAGCUGUCCUUAGUACGAGAGGACCGGGAUGGACACACCGCUGGUGUACCAGUUGUUCCGCCAGGAGCAUCGCUGGGUAGCUACGUGUGGAAGGGAUAAGUGCUGAAAGCAUCUAAGCAUGAAGCCCCCCUCAAGAUGAGACUUCCCAUCUAUUCGAUAGAGUAAGAUCCCUCAGAGACGAUGAGGUAGAUAGGUUCGAGGUGGAAGCAUGGCGACAUGUGCAGCUGACGAAUACUAAUCGAUCGAGGACUUAUCUA
rnacentral:rRNA from 1 species